rfam:Lysinibacillus sp. F5 Contig46, whole genome shotgun sequence.
AGGGCAGUAUCCAUUGUGAACGGCACCUUCAAAAGCGCAAGAUCCCAUAUUAACCAAUAUCUGCCUUGAUCUUUUUAGACAGGGACGGAAGA